AAAGGCGAAAAGAACCCCGGCGAGGGGAGUGAAAAAGAACCUGAAACCGUGUACGUACAAGCAGUGGGAGCACAGGUUUACCUGUGUGACUGCGUACCUUUUGUAUAAUGGGUCAGCGACUUAUAUUCUGUAGCAAGGUUAACCGAAUAGGGGAGCCGGAGGGAAACCGAGUCUUAAUUGGGCGUUAAGUUGCAGGGUAUAGACCCGAAACCCGGUGAUCUAGCCAUGGGCAGGUUGAAGGUUGGGUAACACUAACUGGAGGACCGAACCGACUAAUGUUGAAAAAUUAGCGGAUGACCUGUGGCUGGGGGUGAAAGGCCAAUCAAACCGGGAGAUAGCUGGUUCUCCCCGAAAGCUAUUUAGGUAGCGCCUCGUGAAUUCAUCUCCGGGGGUAGAGCACUGUUUCGGCUAGGGGGCCAUCCCGGCUUACCAACCCGAUGCAAACUGCGAAUACCGGAGAAUGUUAUCACGGGAGACACACGGCGGGUGCUAACGUCCGUCGUGAAGAGGGAAACAACCCAGACCGCCAGCUAAGGUCCCAAAGUCAUGGUUAAGUGGGAAACGAUGUGGGAAGGCCCAGACAGCCAGGAUGUUGGCUUAGAAGCAGCCAUCAUUUAAAGAAAGCGUAAUAGCUCACUGGUCGAGUCGGCCUGCGCGGAAGAUGUAACGGGGCUAAACCAUGCACCGAAGCUGCGGCAGCGACACUGUGUGUUGUUGGGUAGGGGAGCGUUCUGUAAGCCUGCGAAGGUGGCCUGUGAGGGUUGCUGGAGGUAUCAGAAGUGCGAAUGCUGACAUAAGUAACGAUAAAGCGGGUGAAAAGCCCGCUCGCCGGAAGACCAAGGGUUCCUGUCCAACGUUAAUCGGGGCAGGGUGAGUCGACCCCUAAGGCGAGGCCGAAAGGCGUAGUCGAUGGGAAACGGGUUAAUAUUCCCGUACUUGGUGUUACUGCGAAGGGGGGACGGAGAAGGCUAUGUUGGCCGGGCGACGGUUGUCCCGGUUUAAGCGUGUAGGUGUGUGUUCCAGGUAAAUCCGGUUCACUUUAACACUGAGGCGUGACGACGAGGCACUACGGUGCUGAAGCAACAAAUGCCCUGCUUCCAGGAAAAGCCUCUAAGCAUCAGGUAACAUCAAAUCGUACCCCAAACCGACACAGGUGGUCAGGUAGAGAAUACCAAGGCGCUUGAGAGAACUCGGGUGAAGGAACUAGGCAAAAUGGUGCCGUAACUUCGGGAGAAGGCACGCUGACACGUAGGUGAAGUGAUUUACUCAUGGAGCUGAAGUCAGUCGAAGAUACCAGCUGGCUGCAACUGUUUAUUAAAAACACAGCACUGUGCAAACACGAAAGUGGACGUAUACGGUGUGACGCCUGCCCGGUGCCGGAAGGUUAAUUGAUGGGGUCAGCGCAAGCGAAGCUCCUGAUCGAAGCCCCGGUAAACGGCGGCCGUAACUAUAACGGUCCUAAGGUAGCGAAAUUCCUUGUCGGGUAAGUUCCGACCUGCACGAAUGGCGUAAUGAUGGCCAGGCUGUCUCCACCCGAGACUCAGUGAAAUUGAACUCGCUGUGAAGAUGCAGUGUACCCGCGGCAAGACGGAAAGACCCCGUGAACCUUUACUAUAGCUUGACACUGAACAUUGAGCCUUGAUGUGUAGGAUAGGUGGGAGGCUUUGAAGUGUGGACGCCAGUCUGCAUGGAGCCGACCUUGAAAUACCACCCUUUAAUGUUUGAUGUUCUAACGUGGACCCGUUACCCGGGUUGCGGACAGUGUCUGGUGGGUAGUUUGACUGGGGCGGUCUCCUCCUAAAGAGUAACGGAGGAGCACGAAGGUUGGCUAAUCCUGGUCGGACAUCAGGAGGUUAGUGCAAUGGCAUAAGCCAGCUUGACUGCGAGCGUGACGGCGCGAGCAGGUGCGAAAGCAGGUCAUAGUGAUCCGGUGGUUCUGAAUGGAAGGGCCAUCGCUCAACGGAUAAAAGGUACUCCGGGGAUAACAGGCUGAUACCGCCCAAGAGUUCAUAUCGACGGCGGUGUUUGGCACCUCGAUGUCGGCUCAUCACAUCCUGGGGCUGAAGUAGGUCCCAAGGGUAUGGCUGUUCGCCAUUUAAAGUGGUACGCGAGCUGGGUUUAGAACGUCGUGAGACAGUUCGGUCCCUAUCUGCCGUGGGCGCUGGAGAACUGAGGGGGGCUGCUCCUAGUACGAGAGGACCGGAGUGGACGCAUCACUGGUGUUCGGGUUGUCAUGCCAAUGGCACUGCCCGGUAGCUAAAUGCGGAAGAGAUAAGUGCUGAAAGCAUCUAAGCACGAAACUUGCCCCGAGAUGAGUUCUCCCUGAGACUUAGAGUCUCCUGAAGGAACGUUGAAGACGACGACGUUGAUAGGCCGGGUGUGUAAGCGCAGCGAUGCGUUGAGCUAACCGGUACUAAUGAACCGUGAGGCUUAACCUU
rnacentral:rRNA from 1 species